GCAGCAGGAUCUGGUGGUGCAAGGCAACAUGGAAACAUAGUUAGUGCUUGGUCUUCGGGAACAUGUUGACAGAUGAAACUCAAAUGUUUCUGGUCCCUUUUCAGAUAUUUGUGCUGUAGUGCUCUGCAUGUGUUUUGUGCCUUUGAUCCUCAUUUGGCUGAUUAUCCUAGGCUCCAGGGGUAGGCCGUCCAACUCGCACUGACGUCAAUGAGCCUUACAUGCAAAAAAUCCUACUGAUUCCUUGUGGUUCCUACAAGCCACGUGGUUUCAUAUGACGGACAGAUUGUUGGUGUAAAUUGCCAAAGCCCCACUGACACCAAGGGAGAAGCUGCACUUCAGUGGCCCUGUGUGCGUGCAAGUCUCUGGAUUCUCCCUGGACCCUGUGGCUUCCAAAGGCAAAACUACCCAAUUUGCAGCCCCCUCCUCUGAAGCCAGUCAAGGUAUUUUCACUAAUUGAUUUCAGAUCAUUCAGCAGUGAAUCGGCAAUGAACAUAGAAAUGCACACUGAUUUUGUUUGGGUACCUUCCAUUUUGGGAUUCUCCAAAGGACAGAAGGUUUAUUCUCACAUGGAGUGGUUCUGCUUUCUCCCUGUACCUACGUGACAUGUCUGACUGGAUAUAGCACUGACUAGAGUUCAGAGCUGAAGGGUUGAAUUUCUUUUUCAUUCCUCUCCUCGCCCCAGAUUUUUUGUAUUUGCUCUUUUAACAAGGUGCUAGCUGAUGUUGCAUUGGGUACAUUUUCCUGCAGUUCUCUACUGCAAGUACCUGAGACAUUGUCCUCGCCUCUGCACCUGAGCUUGAGAGUGGCUGAGGAAGAAAAGGCAGCUCAUCAUCUGCAGGAACUGGCAGCACCAUUUAACCAGUUUAACUUCACACGUUUGUGUUGCUCCAGGGGGUUGCUAUGCCUUUGUUGCAAAACUCAUCUGACCUCGUGCACUAACAACAGUGAUACCAGUAGGUCUGCUCGGGAAACACACCCUGCCACUUCCACUGUGCACCUCACUGCUUUGGAGGACAUUAGCAUGGCCUCAGCCCAGCUGGGAGCUGGGUCUCACUCCUCAAUCAGAGACAACUCAUUCUCGUUAUUAAACACGCAGAACGCUUCCUGGAUAUUCCCGUACACGGUCGCGAGCAUACGUGUUAAAUCCGUGCUCCUGUCUGCUCACCUCGUGCAGCCCCGCGGGAGAUGAGCGGCCCCGCGGGACACGGCACGGAGCGUGUGCGGCUCCACUGCCCUCUCCUGGGAGCAGGCAAGCCGGAGUUCCAGAGGACUCGGCCUGCAGAGCGGAAAGCUGCGUCUUAGGUCAAUGCUCAUGGUGUUUUGCCACAAAACGCCUCUCCAGAGCUUUGCACCACAGCUGUGCUAUCUAUGGAGACACAAACAGCCUGGCUGCGUCACAGAUCCCACUGUCAGGGCAACAGGGCUGCCUGAUAGUUGCAGUCCCACAGGCUACAACCCCCCUCUCCCCAUAGCAUUAAGGUCAGACACCAAGUGCCCCAGAGGGGCACUGCGAACACGCCACAGAGGGGGCAUCCCAGCCCAGUGGCCCUCCACAGCCUGUCCCAUGGGGCUGGGAGCACAGGGCAGCGGCCAGGAGGGCACUCUGCUCACUGCCACCUGCAGGGUCUCUCACUGCCCAAGAGCCUGACACCAACCAUGCCACCUGGCCCAGAAGUUUCGCAGGUGGUCUGCAAACUGCACAUUGCUCUGGGUCCAAAGUUGGCUGCUCCUCCACAUGUGUAUAAGCUGACUAGAUAAAAUAACAGCUCUGUACAAUGCUCGCCUUGAAAAAAAAAAAAGUUGUGUCUCAUAA